GAUGAACGCUGACAGAAUGCUUAACACAUGCAAGUCAACUUGAACUUCGGUUUGGGUGGCGGACGGGUGAGUCACGCGUAAAGAACUUGCCUCACAGAUAGGGACAACAUUUGGAAACGAAUGCUAAUACCUGAUAUUAUGAUUUUAGGGCAUCCUAGGAUUAUGAAAGCUAUAUGCGCUGUGAGAGAGCUUUGCGUCCCAUUAGCUAGUUGGAGAGGUAACGGCUCACCAAGGCGAUGAUGGGUAGCCGGCCUGAGAGGGUGAUCGGCCACAAGGGGACUGGGACACGGCCCUUACUCCUACGGGAGGCAACAGUGGGGAAUAUUGGACAAUGGACCAAGAGUCUGAUCCAGCAAUUCUGUGUGCACGAUGAAGUUUUUCGGAAUGUAAAGUGCUUUCAGUUGGGAAGAAAAAAAUGACGGUACCAACAGAAGAAGUGACGGCUAAAUACGUG
rnacentral:rRNA from 1 species